CCUUCCCCUGCACUACUUCCUUCCUCCCUUCUCUCGUUCCUACUUUUUCUUUCCCAAACACAGCUGCCGCAGAUGUAGCCGCCACCACCACAGCCACAAUCACGGCCACAGCCCCUUUUUUUUCCCCCUUUCCUUUCUUUCUAUUUUCCAAAAGCAGCUGCUGCAGCCACCACCGCUGCCGCAGCUACCGCAGCCGCAACCGCAGUCGCAGCCACCACAGCCGCAACCUCUUUUUCCUCCCCUGCUCUGUUUCCUCUCCUUCUCUUCCAGCUGCAGCUGCCACUGCCGCAGUUGCCUCCCCUUCUCCUCUUCCUCUCUUCUUCCCUUUUCCUUUCUCUUCUUCUUCCUUUCCUUCUCUUCUUUCCCAGUUGCACUGCUGCAGUCGCAGCCUCU
rnacentral:lncRNA from 1 species